GGAUUGUUAGCUCAGUUGGUUUAGAGUGCUGCCUCGACAAGGCAGAGGUCACUGGUUCGAGCCCAGUACAGUCCA
rfam:Candidatus Symbiothrix dinenymphae DNA, contig: NODE_16, strain: B4-10h.